rnacentral:rRNA from 1 species
GGGACCAGGGGCACUCUGGUUCAGUGGCGGACGGGUGCGUAACACGUGAGGAACAUGACCUUCGGCGGGGGAUAGCCGGCCCAACGGCCGGGUAAUACCGCGUACGACCACAUGGGGACAUCCCUGAGUGGUGAAAGCAGCAAUGCGCCGAUGGAGUGCCUCGCGGCCUAUCAGCUAGUUGGUGAGGUAACGGCUCACCAAGGCAACGACGGGUAGCUGGUCUGAGAGGAUGGCCAGCCACAUUGGGACUGAGACACGGCCCAGACUCCUACGGGAGGCAGCAGUGGGGAAUAUUGCGCAAUGGACGAAAGUCUGACGCAGCGACGCCGCGUGUGGGAUGACGGUCUUCGGAUUGUAAACCACUGUCGGGAGGGACGAAUACGCCGCAAGGCGGGUGACGGUACCUCCAAAGGAAGCACCGGCUAACUCCGUGCCAGCAGCCGCGGUAAUACGGAGGGUGCGAGCGUUGUCCGGAAUCACUGGGCGUAAAGGGCGCGUAGGCGGCCUGAUAAGUAGGGGGUGAAAUCCUGCGGCUUAACCGCAGGGCUGCCUUCUAAACUGUCAGGCUCGAGCACAGUAGAGGCAGGUGGAAUUCCCGGUGUAGCGGUGGAAUGCGUAGAGAUCGGGAAGAACAUCAGUGGCGAAGGCGGCCUGCUGGGCUGUUGCUGACGCUGAGGCGCGACAGCGUGGGGAGCAAACAGGAUUAGAU